AUUGAACGCUGGCGGCAUGCCUAACACAUGCAAGUCGAACGGCAGCACGGCAGUAGCAAUACUGUGGGUGGCGAGUGGCGGACGGGUGAGGAAUACGUCGGAAUCUGCCCAGUCGUGGGGGAUAACUAGCCGAAAGGUUAGCUAAUACCGCAUACGACCGAGAGGUGAAAGCGGGGGACCGCAAGGCCUCGCGCGAUUGGAUGAGCCGACGUCGGAUUAGCUAGUUGUGGGGUAAAGGCCACCAAGGCGACGAUCCGUAGCUGGUCUGAGAGGAUGGAUCAGCCACACUGGAACUGAGACACGGUCCAGACUCCUACGGGAGGCAGCAGUGGGGAAUAUUGGACAAUGGGCGCAAGCCUGAUCCAGCAAUGCCGCGUGUGUGAAGAAGGCCUCGGUU
rnacentral:rRNA from 1 species